UACGUAGGGUGCGAGCGUUAAUCGGAAUUACUGGGCGUAAAGUGUGCGCAGGCGGUUUUGUAAGCCAGAUGUGAAAUCCCCGGGCUCAACCUGGGAAUGGCAUUUGGGACUGCAAGGCUCGAGUUUGGCAGAGGAGACUGGAAUUCCUGGUGUAGCAGUGAAAUGCGUAGAUAUCUGGAGGAACACCGGUGGCGAAGGCGGCAUCCUGGACCGACACUGACGCUGAGGAGCGAAAGCCAGGGGAGCAAACGGG
rnacentral:rRNA from 1 species